CCGGCUCCCGGGGUCUCGGGCUGGAGAGACACGUCUCCCGCCCCGGGGCCGGGUGGUGCGCGCAGGAGGAGGACCCAGCAGCGGGCUCUGCCUGGGCUUGCCUGGGCUUGUUCAGAGCCGGGCCGCUUCCCUCCGUGGCCGCGCAGAUCCGGGGGGACCUCGAGAUUUUGCGGGCGCCUUGCAGCCAAGCCCCGGGGAGGAGGGGUCUGGAAGCCCGCGCCGCAGGCUCGCCCGGUCCCACGGGGAGCGGCAGGUAAACGCUUGUGUUCUCAGUCCGUUCGAAAGUUCGCAAAGGAGGAGGCAGGAACUUUCCUCCUCAUAAUGGGAACCCUGUUGUUGAAUUGUGUGGCCUCCGAGUCAUACGGAGAAGAAUUUCCAAGAGGCAACAAAAUGCUCUUUGAUUUCAUAAUCUCUGGAGAGAAAGGAUUCCUUUUCUGGGUUUUGCGCGGCUGGGUUUUUUGUUUGUUUGUUUCCUUCGUCUUCGCUCUCCGCGGUGGGUGCAGAAGGGGGCUCGCUGGUCUAGGGGUGGAAAUGGGGACUCUGGUUUUAUUGCCGCCGCUUCCCCCACCUACGAUGGGAGCAAAUCCCUCGGUUUCCUGAAAGUGGGGACGUGGAGACUAGCUCCCCAAGGUGGCUGUGACAAAUCUCAGCAGAUAGGAAAAGUAGUCCUGUGGCCACUACGGUAACGUGACAUCAGGGGCCCAGUCUGCCAGCCUGCAUUUUAAAGAGAGGAACAGGGGACCGGGUUUCAGCCUUCCUGUCCCCAAGGUGAACAUGAGCUCUCCGACCCCCCAGCCCCCAGGGGCCAGAGCGGGGUGGGGUCCGGCCUGGGAGCUUCAGGUCAGGAUGGGGUCCGGAUCCGCAAGCCGCAAUGCGGGGGGACCCUCCCUCACCCUCCGGUUUUGGUUGAUGUGGUCCGGUAGCACUGACAGGGCUCAUGCUCUGGUGCCUUCACUGUUUCUGGGCCUGGUGGAGCACAGGGAGCAAGGGGACAGCAUGGCUGUGCAGAGAGGCCCGCGGCCGACGCCCUCCUGGUGUGUCCACGCUGGUCUCCUGCAGCGAGGAGUGGCAGUGUUGCCUGGAUUAGUGGAACCCCGCAGUGGAUGCUACGAGCUGCAUCAUGGGACAGAAUGGCUCACGGUAAGUUAUGUGGGGUCAAUUCUGCCUCUGCCCCCAGGCCUGAGAAGACUCUGGGACAAAUGGCCACUCCCCGGAGCCUUCAUACUCUGCAUGUGCCGCUAGAUGGUCAAACGGGCCAGAUCAUCCAGUGCGGUGCGGUAAUGGCCGAGACGGGUGGCCGGGCAGGACAGAAGGCCAGUAUUCCCCUUGGGGGUCUGUCCCGGGGCAAGGGGCCGAUGGGGCAGCAUCUGCUGGUACCCCGGGGGCCCAUCUGCUGCCAUGUGGGUUAGUGGCCUGUCUCCUGAGCUUCCCAAGCUUGAGGACUGGCCUGCUCUGCCCUGCCGAGUCCAGCUGUCUGUCUGGCCUCAAGGGUCCCCUGGUUAACAGAUGUGGCAGCCACAGGGACCGCACUUUACUCCCCACCCCGAGUCCUCGGUGCACAUCACAAAUCAGUAAUCCCGAACGUGCGCGGGCCCCCGGGCCCUUGCAUCACCGACUGCUAGGCAGCACUUUGUGUCGAUUAUGUAAGCUGAUUGCCAUCCGGGCCCGGCACCUGCCCUUGUACCUGGGCUCGGAGGUGUAGGAAGACAAAAGUAGGGACCGUGCAGUCCUGGUCGGAGGCUGCCCAACCUCGGGUCACAGGAGCUCAGACGUAGGUAAUAAGAGAAUAGCUGCACGGACUCAUUCGUUCGUUCCUUCAGCAAAUAUUUAUUGAGCCUUUGCUCCGCGCCACCGUUAUUUGAACGUGAGGCAUACAGCGGUGAACCCGAAGGAAGAUCCUCGCUUUUGUGGUGCUUCUCUUCUGCUGGAGGAAUCGGGCGGUACACAGACACGGUGAACUUUUAAAGCAACGUUAGGUGGAGAUAAACGCCGUGAAGGGCUAGGAGGGUGAAGAGUGGCAGAGAGGCGUUGUUGGUUUUGAUGGGGGAGGGAGGGAUUAAGUCAUUGAGGAGAAACCUGAAUAAAGGCGAGGAGAAGGCUCUGCGGGCAGAAGGGUCCUGCGUUUGGCGCAUUGGAGCAGUUUACAGGCAAGCCAGUGAGGCCGGAGGGGAGUGGCGGCGGCCGAGGUCCUGGGAAACCCAAAGGCUGAUGUUGAGCAGCGUUUGGAGAGUUCUGAUCUGUAAGUGUCAUAAUCUUAGGUUUUAUUUUUUUUAAUUUUUUUUAACGUUUUUAUUUAUUUUUGAGACAGGGAGAGACAGAGCAUGAACGGGGGAGGGUCAGAGAGAGGGAGACACAGAAUCUGAAACAGGCUCCAGGCUCUGAGCUGUCAGCACCGAGCCCGACGCGGGGCUCGAACUCACGGACCGCGAGAUCACGACCUGAGCCGAAGUCGGCCGCUUAACCGACUGAGCCACCCAGGCGCCCCAGUCUUAGGUUUUAAAACUAUCACUCUGGGCUGCUGGGUAAAGAAAUGUACAGAAUUAAUUAAUUCUCCUGUACUGUUAAUUCCUGUAACAGUACAGGAGGCUGUUCCUGGGGGCUGGCUAGAAACCACAGUGGCUCGGACUGGGCUGUAGCAUGGGGGUAGAGGCGUAGGUUUUGAAGGGGGAACCAACAGAGUCCACUGCUGGAGGGCCCCGGGGGGGAUAGAACAAAACAUAGAGGAGACCAAGAUGAUCCGGGGUCUGCGGCUUGCACAGACCGGUGAAUCAUUUGUUGACACGGGGGACCAGGAUUUUACGGGGAUCUGGAAUGCCGUUUUGGCUGCGAUAAAGUUGCCUGUCAGACACCCAAGUGGGGAUGGUAUUGGGUGCUAGAAACUGGAGGUCAGGGCAGGGGCAUCUCUGUGACUCCGGUGGUACCAAAUGCCACGGGAUGGGGGGAGGUUGCCGAGGGAGGGGAUAGUGGAGGUUUAAGCGAAGGUGGGGGCUAGUUGUCUCGGAGAGCGGGGACAGAACGGAUAAGGGAAGUGACAGAAGAGUGCCUGGCAAGUGGCAGCUAUUUGCUAAAGAUUGGAUGGACGCGUGCAUAGAAACUCGUGGGACUGCUGUGCAGAGCGGGGCAGAAAGCCCAGCCGGGGAAUGUAAUCCGACGGUAGGUACUCUGGGGUCUCAGGGGCUCACAGGGCUGGGGAGAGGCCAGGACGGUUUUGUGACAGCAGAAGGGAUUCGGUCUGAGCCCGGGAGAGCCGCCAGGGCUCUGAGACAGUUGGAGGGAAGGGAGAGGUACACCGAAGGGAAUGGCAUUCGCAGGAUUAGGCACGCAAGAGGCGGGUUUAGAAGUCUGUUACGGGAUCAGUGGAGGCUUCUUAGGAAGGGAGGGUUGGUGCAGCAGAAUGGCUGAGGCCCCCCCCGGGGGCCGGAGCGGGGGAUGGGGGGGGACAGGAGGAGCAGCCAGAGACUGAGAGAGCCUGCCCCCCACCCUGCCAGACGGGGGUGACAGCCUGGGCCCCCUCCUGCUGCCCCCGCCCCAUCCCCUCCCCUGCUGCAGCCCAGGUUGUGACACCUGACAGACGGUAUGUCCUCAGGUCUCUGUGAGGUGGGGAGGGCCCGAGGAUUACGGUCUGUGUUUUUGACAGCUGAAAAGCGAGGCGCAGGGAGGUCGUGGGGCUCCCCUCCUUAGGGUGAUGUGGGCGCAGUCCCGCCCCAAAGCCCUCCAGCACUCCUGGCUGGGUUUGCACUUGACUGUCGCCUUGUCUGAGAGGAUUGCCCGUCUCUUGUGUUAGGACAAAAUGGGCAUCUGUUUUUCUUUUUUUAAUUUUUUAACGUUUAUUUAAUCUUGAGAAAGAGAGAGAGAGCGCGUGAGCAGGGAAGGGGCAGAGAGAGAGGGAGACACAGAAUCCGAAGCGGGCUCCAGGCUCCGAGCUGUCAGCACAGAGCCCGACGUGGGUCUCGAACUCACGAGCCACGAGAUCAUGACCACGAGCCACGAGAUCAUGACCUGAGCCAAAGGUCGGACCACCAACCGACUGAGCCACCCAGGUUCCCCCGGGGCAUCUUUUUCUUCGAGGCUGUGUGACGGCGAGCGCUCCUUGCUUCUGUUCAGCCGGGGAGGGCUGGAAGGGGCCUCUUUAAAUCUCAGCUUCGAUGAUCCUGGAGUCCUGUGGAUUGAAAGCGGUUGGUGACUGGCCUUGGGGCUUUCCCCUCUGGGUCUGGCUGUAGAUGCCAGGCCGAGGCUGCUAGAUGCCAGGGUCUGGCGGCCCGUGUGGAUCGUUUUUCUCCAUUCAUAAGCGCCUUGGUUCUCACUGGGGUCCCCAGUGUCCAUUAAGCCCACGACUUUCCGGUCAAGGGCUUGACAUCCAGGUCUUCUUUGCCACUAGCUGCAUGCAGCUGCAAAUAGGACUUAACUUUCCUGGGUUUGGUUCUUCCUCUAUAAAAUUACGGUUACGUUAGGACCUACUUCGUAGAGUCACGGUAUCAGAUAGAUGAGACGACGAGUAUAAAGUGUGGACCAAGCUGCUGUGGCAGCUGGGAGGCAUCGUCAGAGGUCAAGAGCUUCUCUUUCUCAGAUAUUUAGUACUUUCAUAAAUCAGAAGAACCUUCCUCUACGCCCGAUAGUACUGAGUAAGGUGUUUGGAGUUGUUUGAUUUUUGCGUUGCAAAUAUCCCUCUCAACUUCCCCUUCCUAAAAACUGCUUUCGUUUUUGUUGUUAUUGCUAACUAGUGUUGCAAACAUUUAAAUGGUGUGAAAUGCCUUGGGUUGAUGCAAAUAGAAUACCCCCCCCCCCCCCCCCCGCUCCUGAGUCACUGGCUAUGGGCCGGUGGCCACUGACCCCAGUGCACUGUGGGGUUGAUCCAGUGCCUGGAGCCCACGGUGUCGACCACUCUCACCCUGGGGCCCCACCUUGACCUCUGUGGUGCCAAGUGACCUCUCUCCGCCCUGUCAUUUGACGUUUGGCUUGUCCCUUUCUGAGAAUAGUGCUGACUCACUCCUCCCAGCUUCCCACCUCACCUCCUGUGGGCGGGCACUCCUGCCUGAUUGUCGCCUCCUCCUCCUGGAUAGUAGGCGGGGGGAAGGGACCGUCCAUCCAGAGGAGAAAGAGUUGUCCUGACGGUUGGAGAGUGGGGGGCAGGGUUAGUUGACUUGGGCUGAGUUGAUUCCUGAUCCUGGCGCUAGACAUGUUCUGAGGCUGUCACAUCAUGUCGCAAUAAAAUUAAUUAAAACGGAUUAAAGGUGAAAGUGGAUAAGACUGUUGUCCCCAUAACCCCUCUAUUGUGAAACCCACCACCCGUGGUGGGGUGAAGCCAGUUUAAAAUCCCAGCCCACGUUGGGGCACCUGGGUGGCUCAGUCGGUUAAGCGUCCGACUUCGGCUCAGGUCAUGAUCUUACGGUCUGGGAGUUCGCGCCCCGCGUCGGGCUCUGCGCUGACAGCUCAGGGCCGGGAGCCUGUUUCGGACUCUGUGUCUCCCUCUCUCUCUGCACCCCCCCCUCUCAAAAAUAAAUGAACAUUAAAAAAAUGAAAUUUUUUUUGUAAUCCUAGCCCACGAGAUUGAGCCCUAAGCAAUGCUAUCCCUCCUCCAGGAUCUCUGCAAGGCUGGUGGUUCUCAGAAUUGUCUCCAAAUCCGGAAGGAGAUUAACAUCCCUUGCCUCCAACCUGGAGAGACAAACAGCUCUUGAUCAUUUUCUGAGAAAGGUGCUGGGGGUGGGGGCUGUGUUGAAUUUACUCACCCUGGGUACCACCCAGGCGUCUCCCUUCCCUGAUCACCCCCUCCUUAAUCAGGGCAUAACCAGAUGGGGGGCACAGAUGAGGGGUGCAGACGUUCCCUGAGAGACUGUUGGCCUCUAGCAAAGUGGGCGGAGUUGUCCCUGGGCUUCUUCCCUCUUGGUCUCGGGCGUAACCCCCCCUUGCUGGCUGCCCCACAAUUCCAAUCCGGCACCCCACUUUGGCGCCCGCUGAGGACUGUCUUAUCCCCUGAAAUGCAUCUAACCCCCCAAACACUUCAAAAGUUGCACUCCCUUAGAGCCAUUCAUAAGCCACAUCAUUCAACACUGAUUUGGCGGAAAAAAAGCCAACGCUUCGGUCGCCUCUCCCGUUCUCUCCCCUGCACCGGAGAAUCACACCUUCUCCCAAAUGCUUCUAGAAACGCGAGCUGCCACUGUGUAUGCGCGGUGCUAAUUAUGCUCAUUUAUGUGAAUCGUUUCCAUUUAAGCCUAAUUACUGUACUGGGGGCUAACACUUCUGCUUGUCCUUAAAUAUGUGUCAAGUUAACUUUGUUAUGAGUUGUUUUUAAGGCAGCAGAGAAAUGCAGAGAACGUUUUUGAGGUGAGAUGGUCCUCAUUGUAUCUCUCGUUUCCUCAGGGGUACUGGGCAAGCAUUGAACAUUCCUCAACCCAUUUUCUUUUCCUACCGGGGAAUAAAUAACUCCUGCCCUCAAAGAGUCUCCAGGAGGAUCACGGGAGCUGGUGCGCUCGUAUUCCUCCAUCCGCCCUGUGUUGAAGGCCGUGUUCAACAGCGGGUGAGACAGACGGUCACUGCCCCCAUGGACGUUAUGGUCCGGUCAGGACAGCAGAAGGUGCAUACUUAAUGCAUACGUAACGAACAUUUAUUGAGCUCUUACUGUGUGCCAGGCGCUGUUUUAAGCACCUUAUUUAAUCCUUGUGUCGGCGCCGUGAGGAAGCUAACGUCCGCGUUGUUCGCAUAUGAGGAGACUUAGGCGUAAGUGUGGUCGUGGCAAAGCCGGACUCCGAUGCACGUAGUGACUCUGUGUGCACCCUGUUGCUGCCCAGAGGGGGUGACUACGGGGUGCCGAGGGAACGGCAGUGGGGAUGCAGGCACUUUGAGGACUGGACUGCAGCACGGGAGGGACGUCCCAUUACCUUUGCCGUUCUUCUGUUGGUUAGAAACCAGUCGUGGGUCACCCCUGCACUCGGGGGAGGGGCUCGCACACGGGUGUGGACACCAGGAGGCUGCUGCCCCCCCCACCCCCCUCCCCCGCCAGGGUCUCUCCCCCACAGUUUCUGAUUUUAUUUGUGGACCUUUUGUCCUUGAACUUUCUUGUCACGUCAACAGUUGGCAGCUGAAAGGGAAAAAAAGAGCCAGGACACCAAGCCGCAUUUCUUACAUUUUUUCUUGAUCCUCCCGAAUUGCAGGUAUCUGCCCUCCAGGGAGUUAAUACCGUCUUCGUGGCCGUUUCCAUGGUUAACCGGUCCCAGGAAUUUUAUGAAAGAGAAAUCAAGCUUGAGUCAGGGUCAGCCGGGAGAAAAGGAAGAGCCUAGUGAAGAAUUCAGACGUUUCGUCAAUGCUUUAAAAUUCAUUCAUUCAUUCAUUCCUUCCUUCAUGCGUUCCCGUGGUCACGUGGCUGGGGGGGCACUUUGGUGAACUGCUUCUGCGCUCGAUACAGUCGUGGCCGCAUCCCUCCGCGACAUCCAGGGUAGGGGUAGUGGGGAAGAGAGGGUGGACACCCUCUGCCUAGGACCUCUCGCGUGGUUUCACUCCCCGUGGGCAGGGGGACCACCCCGGAGCCCACUGCAGGGACAGGCAGACGAAGGGAAUGGUAUGUUGCUUCAAGCAGAAUAAGCACAAUUGUACCUUUUCCUGCUGAGCCAGAUCAUCGCGUUGAACCCUGGUGGCCGUGGCCGUGCUGUGUAGUGUGGAACAAUGGCCUGAAGGCCCCAGCUUCGGAGCGUGGGGCUUUUUAGUGUUGGUGACCGUGUUUUAUAGCAUUUCCGUCCCUUCCGUUUUCUGCCCCUCACCUGUCUCCCCUUGGUUUUGCCAGUGAAUCUGACUUCAGCAAACCUUCUCCACCCUUCUGAGUUCUGCUUCCAAAUGACUGUGGGUCAGAAACCCCCAUCCCCAUACAGGUUAGCGCUGUGUGUAAGGUACGAGUUAAUGAGUGGAUCUCAAGGGCAAGCUGCCCCCUCCCCCCAAUAUCAGAGUAAGGGAGCGGGUGCCAUUUGAAAACAAAGCCUUGCUUUGAUUCGUUGCUUUUGUUUAGUAUCAGUUGUGUUAUUUACUAGACUUUGAAUGCCAGCUGUCAUGGCGGGGUGCCUGUGUGAAUAUCCACAGAAGACCACAUUGGGGUAACAGUACUUGCUGAGGAAGGGAAGGAACUUCAGUGGAUCAAAGGGCUUUCUUACUCCUCCCUCCCCACCCCACCCCCAUUGCUGCUGUUUAAUGAGUUAAUCAAUGACUCCAGGGGUGUGUUAGUUUCCUGGGGCUGCUGUAACAAAUUACCACAAACUGGGGGGACAGGGGGGCUUGCAACAACAGAAGUGUAUUCUCUUGCAGUUCUGGAAGCC
rnacentral:lncRNA from 1 species